UUCAAUUUGGUUUGGAGCGAAAAUGGUGCACCGUUUACAAUUGGCGCGCGAUUUAAAUGAUUUCCAAAUGCACGCAGCCUCGUUCAAUCGAAAAUUGAAAGCAAAAACGAAAGAAGACGAAGAGACAAAAAUAUUUCAAGACGUCCAAGAAAAACAAGCAAGGGACUGCUUUCUUUUUUUUCCCCCCCUCGAAUGAAUUAGAAAACGUUUCAUUUUCAGCAAUUUCACAAAACCAUCAGACCCGCGCGCACGCGCAAGAAUGAGAUGCACAACGACGUUUCAUAAAGAAGCUGCGUGGGGCGCGGCGUUUUUUUUCUUUUCGUUUUUUUUAUUGACGCUGUCAAAAGGGCACAAAGAGUGCACGGACGGACGAACGCGCAGAGCAGAGCAGGGCAGAGAAGACAAGAUGCAGCAGCCGCAGCAGCUCACACAAAAUGGACGCAUGCAGCCAGAGCAGGUAAGGAGGGUUGCCACAAAGCGGGCGCACUCCGCCGGUCUGCGUGCGCGUGAUAAACACAAGCCGAAGGACGCCCGGCCGGGCGGGCGAGCGAGCGAGCUAACGGGGCUGAUGAUGCUAACGGGCUAUCUCGGCGCCGCACAUUGCGCGGCCUCGCAGGGAAUAUUCAAAUAUCGGAAACUCGUCCCAAUGUUCCAAGUGCCCUCAGAUGCCGGCGACAAGCUGAGGAGGCGAGGAUGACUUUGCCUCAAAUUACAAAACACAAAUAAAGAAAUUGACUUCCUUGCUAA